GACGAACGCUGGCGGCGUGCCUAAUACAUGCAAGUCGAACGCAGUGGGGACGGGUGAGUAACACGUGGGUAACCUCCCCUCAGAGGGGAUAACACUUGGAAACAGGUGCUAAACCGAUACUGAUGGAUGAACCCGCGGUGCAUUAGCUAGUUGGUGAGGUAACGGCUCACCAAGGCCACGAUGCAUAGCCGAUCGGAGAGGGUGAGCGGCCACACUGGGACUGAGACACGGCCCAGACCCCGUGGGGAGGCAGCAGUAGGGAAGCUUCGGCAAUUGACGAAAGGCUGACCGAGCAACGCCGCGUGAGUGAAGAAGGUUUUCGGAUCGUAAAACUCUGUUGUUAGAGAAGAGGUAUCUAACCAGAAAGCAACGGCUAACUACGUGCCAGCAGCCGCGGUAAUAC
rnacentral:rRNA from 1 species